CCUACGGGUGGCAGCAGUGGGGAAUAUUGCACAAUGGGCGCAAGCCUGAUGCAGCCAUGCCGCGUGUGUGAAGAAGGCCUUCGGGUUGUAAAGCACUUUCAGCGGGGAGGAAGGCGGUGAGGUUAAUAACCUCAUCGAUUGACGUUACCCGCAGACGAAGCACCGGCUAACUCCGUGCCAGCAGCCGCGGUAAUACGGAGGGUGCAAGCGUUAAUCGGAAUUACUGGGCGUAAAGCGCACGCAGGCGGUCUGUCAAGUCGGAUGUGAAAUCCCCGGGCUCAACCUGGGAACUGCAUUCGAAACUGGCAGGUUAGAGUCUGGUAGAGGGGGGUAGAAUUCCAGGUGUAGCGGUGAAAUGCGUAGAGAUCUGGAGGAAUACCGGUGGCGAAGGCGGCCCCCUGGACAAAGACUGACGCUCAGGUGCGAAAGCGUGGGGAGCAAACAGGAUUAGAUACCCGAGUAGUC
rnacentral:rRNA from 1 species